GCCUGCUUGGCGUAGGGGUAACGGGUUGCACUUGUAAUGCAAAGAUUCCCAGGUUUGAAUCCUGGAGUAGGCA